AUUGAACGCUGGCGGCAGGCUUAACACAUGCAAGUCGAGCGAGCGGCGGACGGGUGAGUACUGUCUGGGAAACUGCCUGAUGGAGGGGGAUAACUACUGGAAACGGUAGCUAAUACCGCAUACCAUCAGAUGUGCCCAGAUGGGAUUAGCUAGUGGGUGGGGUAAUGGCUCACCUAGGCGACGAUCCCGAGUUGGUCUGAGAGGAUGACCAGCCACACUGGAACAGAGAAACGGUCCAGACUCCUACGGGAGGCAGCAGUGGGGAAUAUUGCACAAUGGGCGCAAGCCUGAUGCAGCCAUGCCGAGUAUGUGAAGAAGGCCUUCGGGUUGUGAAGCACUUUCAGCGAGGAGGCGUUACUCGAAGAAGAAGCACCGGCUAACGCCGUGCCAGCAGCCGCGGUAAUUC
rnacentral:rRNA from 1 species